AGAGUUUGAUCAUGGCUCAGAACGAACGCUGGCGGCGCGCCUAAUACAUGCAAGUCGAGCGAGAAGACGUAGCAAUACGUUUGUAAAGCGGCGAACGGGUGAGGAAUACAUGGGUAACCUACCCUCGAGUGGGGAAUAACUAGCCGAAAGGUUAGCUAAUACCGCGUACGCUCCUUGGACUUCGGUUCAGGGAGGAAAGCGAUACCGUGGGUAUCGCGCUCUUGGAUGGGCUCAUGUCCUAUCAGCUUGUUGGUGAGGUAACGGCUCACCAAGGCUUCGACGGGUAGCUGGUCUGAGAGGACGAUCAGCCACACUGGCACUGCGACACGGGCCAGACUCCUACGGGAGGCAGCAGUAAGGAAUAUUGCGCAAUGGGCGAAAGCCUGACGCAGCGACGCCGCGUGGGGGAUGAAGGUCUUCGGAUUGUAAACCCCUUUCGGGAGGGAAGAUGGAAUGGGGUAACCCAUUCGGACGGUACCUCCAGAAGCAGCCACGGCUAACUUCGUGCCAGCAGCCGCGGUA
rnacentral:rRNA from 1 species